rnacentral:lncRNA from 1 species
AAAGCAUAUUAACAAAUAAAAUGCUCUCUCUGGUGUUCUCUAGACCAAAAUAGGAAUCUUUUGGAUUCAUUCUGAUCGCAAUAAAUCAAUAAAGUCAAAGUUAAUGUAAGAAACCAGAUUUUAUACCUUUUUUAAUUAUUAUUCAGCAAUUUAGCGACAUCCCAAGCAGGGAAAAUGUGAGAAGGCUUACGCAAGUGGUCUAAAUCCUCUUAUCUGCACUGCAAGCAUAUCGUUCAUCAUGCUCAUUCUUCUCACACUCUUACCUCUGGCUAGCCUUUGUUUCCAGAAUAGGGUCCAUUCCUUCUGAGCUUUCCCCCUAUUAGCACACGGAUGCCAAACCUUGCUUAAUGCGUUACAUCGUAUGAAUGUGAUGUGUUCUUGCAGAGGGAAGAUUUUUCAUUGCUGUGGGCCUUAUUGUAAGCCUGAUUGCCACAGGAUCUCUGGAAAUAGGUGUUCUCUACAGGCCCAGCUCUCCAGAUCUAAGUCUCUACAAGCCUCACUGGAGUCCAUCAUCUGCGGCAUCUGCAUGAAGGACGGGCCCUCAGCCCACUGCACUGCAGUUUAUAAUGUGAGUCUAUAAGCCUUGACCUUUCUUCCUGCUACUUUUUGCAUCAGUUAACAUUAAGCCAUAUGGCAGCCUUGACCUCAUGUAUCUGUCUGUUGUACAAAAGGCCACACAGAAGCAGUUUCAUCCUACAGGGAAGGUAACGCAGUUAAGCGCUGAAUGAAUGUAGCGUGCCAUAACUGUGCCCUUCUCUCUGCCUGCGUUUGAUUAAGGAGACUGGAGAUCUGCUGUGUUCACCUUUUGAAUGUGAAGAAUGACCUGCUGACUGACCUCAAACAGGCGAGUGAAGCUCACUUAAACAUCACUGUUCACAUUCUGAAAUAAUGAAUAGAUAAUUUACACAUUUAAAACUUGAGACGAAGGAUUAUUUGAAUGUUUCCAUGAAGGAUCGUUGAGGAAACUUUAAAUCAAAGAAGAAUCUUUACAUUCGUUAUUGAAACAAGUGUGUUUCUUCUGUGGUAUCAAGCAU